rnacentral:tRNA from 1 species
CUUAGAUAGAAGGAAUCGAACCUACACCUGGGAGAWCAAAACCCCCUGCAAUUCCAUUUUACCACUUUCUA